CCUACGGGAGGCAGCAGUGGGGAAUAUUGCACAAUGGGGGCAACCCUGAUGCAGCGACGCCGCGUGAGUGAAGAAGUAUUUCGGUAUGUAAAGCUCUAUCAGCAGGGAAGAGAAUGACGGUACCUGAGUAAGAAGCCCCGGCUAACUACAUGCCAGCAGCCGCGGUAAUACGUAGGGGGCAAGCGUUCUCCGGAUUUACUGGGUGUAAAGGGAGCGUAGACGGCGAAGAAAGUCUGAAGUGAAAGGCUGCGGUGCAACCGCGGAACUGCUUUGGAAACUUUUUUGCUGGAGUACAGGAGAGGUAAGCGGAAUUCCUAGGGUAGCGGUGAAAUGCGUAGAUAUUAGGAGGAACACCAGUGGCGAAGGCGGCUUACUGGACGGUAACUGACGUUGAGGCUCGAAAGCGUGGGGAGCAAACAGGAUUAGAUACCCUUGUAGUC
rnacentral:rRNA from 1 species